rnacentral:lncRNA from 7 species
GAGCGCUCUGGGACAAGCUCCUUUGCCGAUGAGCUGCCCAUCUGGAGUCACAUAAAGCCACAGUGCUUCACCUGCUGGUCUGCAGGAUGCUCACCUGAUUCCCCUGUGCAGUGUAUCACCCAGAGCACCACAUCUCAUUGCAUGGUUAAUGUGUCACCUCCCAAAGCUUAACAUCCACAGAGCGAUGUGAAAUAAGUCAGCGUAAGGCAAGGUCCACUUUGGGAGCACUGAUUUACAUUCAGAGUAAAGAGCUAUCUAUUGAUAGUAAUAUUACAAAUGGAACACAGCGUAUCAUUUUUAAAAAUAGCUUUUACAUUGAAGGGAUGGAAGGGCUGGCAUAAGGUGUUUGUAAUCCAUGUUUUUUAGAUUUAAUUUUAAUUUGCAAAUAAUUUUGCAUAAUGUGCAGUUAAGAUUAUUUCAAAAGGAUUUGCAAUACCCCCAUCUUAUUUCCUUUUCAACACAUUGUGAAAAUCUAACGGGGGAGAGGAUAACUGCUAAAAAACGUAAACCUUUAAUUAAAGACAUCUCUAUGUGAAGGUUCUUUCCUUAGAAUGUUAUUCCAUGCUGCCACCUUCAGGCCAAAGUGUGUCUGACAAAUAGGGAGAUUUGAGCAGUACCCAUCUUAUGAUUUUGCACUGUUACAGUUCUUAAGCCAUCCCAGUAAGAGGAAGCUCUUCUGUCUGCUGGGACGGUGAUUGCUGCAGUGGUGGCAAUGUGAGUUUGGAAAAGUCAAAUUCCUUCAGUUUAAGGGAAGAGAAGCUGAGGGGAGGAAAAUACCACAGCUAAUACAAUAAGCAUAUAUAAUACGGUUUCCUUUAAAAAAUGAUGUCAGAGAAUUAGAACUGUGCUCGUUAGCCAACUGCAGGUUUCUGCAGAACUGCAAAGCAGUUUUAUUGCCUUCCCUCUUCCAGAUUUUUUCCCAGACUUUCAAUUUCUCCUUUCGAUUCUUCCCUGGCAGGAAAAAUGUGAAUUUUAAGGCUAUUAACCUUCCAAAACAUUCACCUCGGAGUCUGAACUUCGCAGUACUUCAGCUUCAAUUCUGAGAAAUGUCUCUAUUCCACAACAACAUGAUAAGUGAGAGUGAAUUAAGUCCCUUGUGCACCAAAAGUGUGUGGCCUCACUUCUUGGAAACUCAAAGAGUGCUGCGUUUCUGCUGGAAGUUAUGUACUCCAUUCUUGGAUCUGAGGACAGAGCUCUAUACACAGUGCUGGCAUUACCAAGAGGUGUGGUGUGAGCUGCGUGGGGAGGGGCACAGGAUUAUUUGCAAGCUGCUACCGAGUCCCACAUCAACACAUACUUCUUUCUUGAAAAUGGCUGCCAAAUUGUGAAGGUUCGCCAACCACCAGACCAGGCAGCCCAGAGCCACAUCCAGCCUGACCUUGAAUGCCUUCAAAGAAUGGGACAUCCACAGCCUUCUUGGGGAACCUGUUCCAGUGCAUUACCACCCUCUGUGUGAAAAACUUCCUCCUAAUAUCCAACCUAAACAUCCCCUGUCUCAGUUUAAAACCAUUCCCCCUUGUCCUACCAAUCUCUGCCCUCAUAAACAGCCAUUCCCCUUCCUGUUUAUACGUUCCCUUCAAGUACAGGAAGGCCACAAUGAGGUCUUAAUGUUCAGAGACAUUACAUAAUUCUCAUAAAUGCUUCUCAUCAGUCAAAAUGUUCUGGUGCUUAAACAUUUGCAUUGCUUCUUUUUUCCCCCUAGGCUCAAUAUCUCACCAUCUAUCAUUACCCUUCAUUUAUAGUUUGUCAGACAAUUUUAAAUCCAUGAGACAGUGCUCAUUUCAAACCCAUCUGAGACUAAUUUUUCAAGUAUGAUUUUGGAGGUAUAGCAUCUGAUGUCUACUAUUGCUGCAUAGAUGAUCCAAAAAUGUUUUUUGUUACAAAUUUUCAACCCCCACUCUAGUCACUCUGUGUUCCAGCACAUAUGUGCAUAUGCAUCAUAAUUUUACUUGCUGCUGUUUAUUGCUCAUGUUUCUCCUGUCAGCUGCUUAC